rnacentral:lncRNA from 1 species
ACAGACCCCUUGUCAGAAUAAUGCUUAUAAAUGUGUAAGUAGGGAACAUACUAAACUGUGUAUCAGGGUGACUGGUUAUCAUCUUAGUUUGACUUCAGAAACAUGCUGGAAGGCUCACCAGUUAAAGCUUCAUUGGUCCUGGGGCCAGCCCGGUGGCGCAGCAGUUAAGUGUGCACGUUCUGCUUCAGCGGCCCAGGGUUUGCCGGUUCAGAUCCCGGGUGCAGACAUGGCACUGCUUGGCAAGCCAUGCUGUGGUAGGCGUCCCACAUAUAAAGUAGAGGAAGAUGGGCAUGGAUGUUAGCUCAGGGCCAGUCUUCCUCAGCAAAAAAAAAGAGGAGGAUUGGCAGCAAAUGUAAGCUCAGGGCUAAUCUUCCUCAAAAAAAAAAAAAGAAAAAAAAGCUUCAUUGGUCCUACCAGCAUGGAAUAUCAACCCCUGAGACUAACACAGCCUCUGCUCAUCUGACCCUCACCAUAGGCCCACGUGAUAUUCAGGGAAGGUAUGUCCCCAUUUACAAAGGAGGAAAUUGAGGUCAGUCACACCUGGAGGGAGAGUUGGCCAGUGAGACCCAGCUCGAGGAUCUCUUCCCUAGUUUGCUCUUUCCUCUGCAUUGCACCUUCUGCUGGAAAAAGCACAGCUGUGUUUUCUUAUCCCAGAACUCUGCAGUGUGAUUAGGGAGUCAUCUGAGUUUCUGACUUGGAGGCAGACAUCUCUGCUGAAAUAAAAUGAAGUACCUCUAUGUGCAGACUAAGAAAUUACUAAAUGCCCCCCUUCCUCUUCCUUGUAGCUUUUUCUCUCGUCUCCAUCAUAGGAGCAAUCUCUGGUACGUGCACGUUAACCAAAACUCCAGGUGCAGUUCAAGGAACCUUCCUAUUUUAAAAAAUGAGGGAAGAUGACAACUGACACAAAUUUCUUGGCUCCUGGCACAAAAAUUCAGUACUUUAAAGACUCCUUUCCGUGAAGGUGACACAAGGGGUGACCUAGGCACUGGCUCAUGGCUUGUUUCCCUGCCAGUUCAGCUAGCCCUACAACAAGGGGAUAUUCGUAUGAGCUGACAUGUGCUGAUUGGCAAACUCAUGUCCUGGCCCAUGACCAUAAAACAAUAUUAACAAAUCUACACUGAACGAAACACACGGUCAACAGAGAGUUUUGUGGGUCUUCCCUGUGUGAGCAUCUGCACGUGGGUGGAGGAGCUGGGCAGAGGCCCCAGGAGGGCCAGGCCAGGCCGGGGCUGCUUGGCUCUCCUGCCUACCCAGCACUGUCUCAGAGGACUUGAGGACUGCAGGCUUGAUCUGAGGGAGGAGACAUCCCCUACUGGACGGACCUGAAGUUUAAAAGGGGAAGAAGGCACGGAAGUGAGGAAGAGAAUGCACACAAGAACCAAGCAGUUGUUUCUUCAAGAGAGAUCAUUGAAGGCAGCCAGAAGUGAAGACUGAAAAGGCUGAGGGAAGGCUGAUUCUUGGUGGAAUGGUGGUUGUCUUCCUAGUAACCAGAGCUGGAUCUGGGAGAGCUGCGGCACGUUGUUCAAUGUAUUAGUUUGCGCCUGCUGCAUGACAAACCACGUCAGAAGUCCAUGGCAUACAAGCAGCAUCAUAUGUUAUCACGCUCACAGUCGUACAGACCAGCUGGGGCACCUGUGCAUCAGGCUGCGGAAGGCUGGGGUGUGCUCUGCUCUACUUUCCUUUAUUCUUCUGGGACCUGUGAGCUAACUUCGGCAUGUUCUUCUCAUGGGAGUGGCAGAAAUGAAAGAGGGGUGAGCAGAAACUCAGUGAGCAGCUCAGAACUGGUACCCCGUCACCUCCACCCACAUUCCAUCGGCCAAAGCAAUUCCAUGGCCAAGCCCAAUAACAGUAGGCUGUGGACAUAUUCUCCACCUUGCACGGAAGGAACUGCUGAGUCACUUGGCAACGUGUAUGGAUUCAGGGAGGAGUCGAUGGGGACAAUGAUAGAACUGCUACUCCAGUUUGGGCACUUUCUAUUGAAUCCUGGUAGCCAUGGAAGACUGCAUCUCUUGAGUUGCUACUGAUAGGAAGGAAAGACUGGCUGAUGUCUCUUAAUGAUAGUAUGGAAAUCCUUUUGAAAGUUUAGUUUAGAAACUAAGUUUCAUAAUGACCAGGACAAUGUACGUCUAGUUCACCUCCUGUGUUCAGUAAAUACUUCUUGAUCCAAUGAUUAAAUGGUGAAAGAAUA